UCCAACCCAAGGCAGUCUAUGAUUCUAGUCUAUGAAUCUGUGACUUUAUUUUUAAAAGAUCCAGGUAAGUGUAUCUGAAGUAUUGCAGACAUAUCCUUCAACAAUUUUAAUAGGCUUCCUCUUCUAAGAGGGCUAGAGAGGGGAGGAAGGAGGGAGAGAAGGAAGGAGUGAUGGAUGUUUGUCGUCUUUUACACUUCAGUUCUCUUCAUUAUGUGACAACAAGGCCACACAUUCAAUGAACAGUAAUUAUCGUGCAUUUUUAGAUCCCAUUUUUUUCCUACCCGGUGCAUUCCAGCAUUGGAAUUUAAGUGGAAGAGGAGCUUGGUGCCCUACACUGAUGAUUAGACAUGAAAAGUGUUUGUUUUAGAGGAAACAGAUCUUCCACGCUCUCCAUACCCAGGUGAAUGCCCAGCUAAAAACCUUAAACCAAUCUGACUUCUACUUUUUCCCUGCAGAAGUAAAAUGCAGGAAGAAUAUACAAAGAGCACCCCUUCACAUACGUUCUUUAUUUCUGUUCCCUCAAAUAACCUACAGCAUUGUUCUUACAUGACUCUCUUGGAGGUUGGCGGUGUGUGUUUGCAUCCCUCAGGCUAAGGAGAGAACUUGAUCCAGAUUGCCUGUUUCCUGCUUGAAUUCUUGAAUAUCUGAGGCUACUGCUACUACCUCCUCCCCCCCGAGAUGGAAUUUGAAAGAAAGCAGCCACAACAUCUUUGUGAGGUCCUGUCAGCCUGUGUCAGACCCUGAAGCAGCCUGGCAGAGAAAUGCCUCAUUUCUGGAUCUUCAUCAGGCACAGUCAGGAGAUAAACAUCAAGCUACCAGGGCUGGGGAAGCCCUGGGCAGGAUCUGAAACAAAAUUUUAAGAGGUUAGAGAACUUUAAGUUCAACUGAUAUUAACAGCCUCCAGGGUUAGACACUGUUUAGUGGGUGUAUAAGGGGAUUUUUUGUUUUAGUCAUCUUAGAUCUGCCAAAGUCCACGUUACAUCCUUCAAGAAAGAUUGUGCUGCGGACUGAAUUAGAGUUGAAUCACUGUGCAAUGUGAUGGUCAUAUGGUAUAAGUUUCUAUGAUUUGCAUGACAAUUCUGUCAGAAAAAAAGAAAGAAUAUUUCCUCAGAAAAUUAUUUCUACUAAUGGUAUUUAAGCCAUUAGUAUUUGCAGUAGAGUUCAGAGGAAUUAAAAAAAAAAAAAAUCCUAAAAUUCCCAAGUUGCUUGAAUGCUUUGGAGAAUUUCACUUUAAAUACCUUAUCCAACAGACCAUAUUCUGAGUGAUUUUUGUUGCUGUUGCUUGAACACAGACUACAGUAAAUUCUUAUAAUAUAUUUUUUACUCACUAACAAGUGCUGUUAUCAACUGCAUAGUUGUAGGGUUUAGAUAUCUUUGACAAACACAUACAUAUUCAGAAAGUAUAGGAGAAAAAGGUCAUAUAAAAUAUUACCCUGUUUUAUAACCUAGUGAGUGUAUUUUUUUAUUUUAUUUUAUUUUUUUUGCUGUAAAUAUAAGAUUAUGAGCAAAAUGGGAUGUAAACUUCUGUAGACAUUAGCAAAUUUUAUUUGUUUUCUGUUUAGGAAAAAUAAAAGAUUUUUUAUGAAGUGAAAUUUCAAAAUUAUUUUUCAGUUAUUCAAGCACCUAAAAAGUGUUUUGAACCAAAACUGGAAGCAUUGGUUACCCAAAAUGUUACUUAAUAAAAU
ensembl:lncRNA